rnacentral:rRNA from 1 species
CCUACGGGUGGCAGCAGUGGGGAAUAUUGCACAAUGUGGGAAAGUCUGAUGCAGCCACGCCGCGUGAGCGAAGAAGUCUCUCUGGAUGUUAAGCUCCAUUUGUAGGGGAGUAAAUGACGCUACCUGUCUAUGUAGUCACGUCUAACUCCACUCCAGCAGCCGUGGUUACACGGAGGCUGCAGGCGUUAUACGGAUUUACUGGGCGUAAGGGGGGCGUAGACGGUCUUGCAAGUCAGAGGUGAAAUCCCGGGGCUAAACGCCGGAACUGGAUUUGGAACUGUAAGGCUAGAGUGUCGGGGAGGCAGGCGGAAUUCCUAGUGUAGCGGUGAAAUGCGUAGAUAUUAGGAGGAACACCGAUGGCGAAGGCAGCCUGCUAGACGAUGAAUGACGUUGAGGCUCGAAAGCGUGGGGAGCAAACAGGAUUAGAUACCCCAGUAGUC